CCUANGGGUGGCUGCAGUCAAGAAUAUUCCUCAAUGGCCGAAAGGCUGAAGGAGCGACGUCGCGUGCAUGAUGAAGUCCUUCGGGGCGUAAAGUGCUUUUAUCUGGGACGAACACAUGACGGUACCAGAUGAAUAAGGAGCUGCUAACCUCGUGCCAGCAGCAGCGGUAAUACGAGGGCUCCAAGCGUUAUCCGGAUUUAUUGGGCGUAAAGAGUUCGUAGGUGGCUUGUUGCAUCUCCUGUUAAAUCCCAGAGCUUAACUUUGGGGCCGCAGGAGAGAUGGGCAAGCUAGAGGCCGGGAGAGGCAAGCGGAAUUGCUGGUGUAGGGGUUAAAUCCGUUAAUAUCAGCAGGAACACCAAAUGCGAAGGCAGCUUGCUAGAACGCGCCUGACACUAAGGAACGAAAGCGUGGGGAGCGAAUGGGAUUAGAUACCCCGNUANUC
rnacentral:rRNA from 1 species